rnacentral:rRNA from 1 species
ACUCCUACGGGAGGCAGCAGUGGGGAAUAUUGCACAAUGGGGGAAACCCUGAUGCAGCCAUGCCGCGUGUGUGAAGAAGGCCUUCGGGUUGUAAAGCACUUUCAGUAGGGAGGAAGGUAGUGUAGUUAACACCUGCACUAUUUGACGUUACCUACAGAAGAAGCACCGGCUAACUCCGUGCCAGCAGCCGCGGUAAUACGGAGGGUGCGAGCGUUAAUCGGAAUUACUGGGCGUAAAGCGCAUGCAGGCGGCCUGUUAAGUCAGAUGUGAAAGCCCGGGGCUUAACCUCGGAAUUGCAUUUGAAACUGGCAGGCUAGAGUCUUGUAGAGGGGGGUAGAAUUUCAGGUGUAAGUCGGUGAAAUGCGUAGAGAUCUGAAGGAUACCAGUGGCGAAGGCGGCCCCCUGGACAAAGACUGACGCUCAGAUGCGAAAGCGUGGGGAGCAAACAGGAUUAGAUACCCUGGUAGGAUAGCG